rnacentral:rRNA from 1 species
AAUCAACGCUGGCGGCGUGCCUAACACAUGCAAGUCGAACGCGAAAGGGGGCUUCGGCUCCUAAGUAGAGUGGCGUCCGGGUGAGUAACACGUAGGUAAUCUGCCUUCGGGUGGGGAAUAACCAGUCGAAAGAUUGGCUAAUACCGCAUAAUGCAGCGGCACCUAAUGGUGAUUAGUUGUUAAAGCGGGGGAGUCGUAAGACCUCGCGCCUGAAGAGGAGCCUGCGGCAGAUUAGCUAGUUGGUGAGGUAAUGGCUCACCAAGGCUUCGAUCUGUAGCUGGUCUGAGAGGACGGCCAGCCACACUGGCACUGACACACGGGCCAGACUCCUACGGGAGGCAGCAGUGGGGAAUCUUGCGCAAUGGGCGAAAGCCUGACGCAGCGACGCCGCGUGAUGGAUGACGGCCUUCGGUU